ACCAGCGAACAUAGCACGUCAAAUGUACCAGUUCCCAAUGGUUCACUGAAGUUAAGCAACUUUUUAAGAGGUUAGUAUCCGGAUUGGUCAUCUGGGCAAUCUCGUGCUACUGGCU
rnacentral:rRNA from 1 species